GGAGUAAGACAAUUAAGAUGUAAGGAACUAAUGUGCUAAUAUAGAAAACAGCAACAUGAAGUCUUAAGAUAUUUUAAAUUCCACAGCCAUAAACUUAGAUUGUGUAAGGUGGACAUAAAGGUGGACAGAAAUUAAAACUGUUUAAAGUGUGAUAUUUCCAUGGAGAUAUUCAAAACUCAGCAAGACAAAGCAUUCCCAUCUACCUUGAGGAUCACAGACAGAGGACAAGAGAGACCGAGGAGUUCACUUUAUCUUGCCUCUGUUCCAAGGCAAUAUCAACAAGAUAUCAAAAAAGAAACAAAGAAAAAGCAUCUGAAUUGAGAUGAUCAAGGGAGAAUAAUUCCUGUUCUUGUUUUCUUUCUUACUAACAAGACUUUUUCCUG